rnacentral:rRNA from 1 species
AAAAUUAGAGUGUUCAAAGCAGGCAGACCAUUUCUUCUGCCACCGAAUACAUUAGCAUGGGAUAAUGGAAUAGGACCCUGUCCUCCUAUUUUGCGUGUUGGUUUUCGAGGACCGGGUAAUGAUUAAUAGGGAUAGUUGGGGGCAUUAAUAUUUAAUUGUCAGAGGUGAAAUUCUUGGAUUUAUGAAAGAUUGACUUCUGCGAAAGCAUCUGCCAAGGAUGUUUUCAUUAAUCAAGAACGAAAGUUAGGGGAUCGAAGACGAUCAGAUACCGUCGUAGUCUUAACCAUAAACGAUGCCGACCAGCGAUUAGGAGACGUUGAAUACAAAACACCACCGUCGGGUCGGCCGUCCUUGGCCGUCGUGCGCGGCGACGCGCGCGGCGGCGAGGGCGGUGUCUGCCCGACGGCCCGGUGAA